AUAGAUUUCCUACUCUCAACUCAUAAUUUCAUUCAAGUAUAAUAUAUUCUACUUGACCUUUGCGGGGUUUUCAUACCAUGUAUUUGUCAUUGAAAUUGGUUUUUGAUAUUUGAACCACUAGUUUAUAAUUGUAUUGUUGGUUAGACUGGUCUGUAGAAUCUUUCUUUGUUUUGAUUCUGUGGUUUAUUCAUUACGGAGUAGCUGUGCUACUGUAAAUUUUGAGGUCAAAAGCUUAAAACAUUUUAUGUGUUUUAAAACAAAGUGGAUGGCAUUUAAAUAUCUAUUCCUUAAAAUUUGGAAGAAAGGUUAACACCAUAUAAACCCAGAGCCUGUAUUUUUAGAUUAGUAGCAUGUAGACAUUUUCAAUUUCUUCUAAAGUUGAAAAAAAUAAAUAUUUUGUAUUCAUAGAAUGCUUGAUAACAGGAGGUAAAUAUUUAAUUUUCACUUAAAAGAAAUUUGGUUACACUGAAAGGAAAUUUGGCUAAUAUAAGUUAGAUACAUUUCUAAUUAAAACAAUAAUUUAAGAUAAAUAAUGCUCAAAGAACAGUGGUCACUGCAUUUAUUCCAGAGAGAGGACAUUUAUCCUGAUCUGGCUGUAAUAACGUAGUAGGUAGAACUGCUGGCGUGGACACCCAAGCACGGACGGGAAGCUGGUGUCUCAAGGGGUCCCGCUGAGAUAGAAAGGGGUCAGGGCCCAGACUGUUGAUGUCGCCUGGACCCAACCACCAUGUCUCAGAAGAAGAAAUGACCCUCCCCUCCUGGUGCUGCCCCAAACAAGGAGCUUAGCAGUGUUGCACACAGGAUAGUCCUUGCAGGAGA
rnacentral:lncRNA from 1 species